GGAUCGCCAGUAGUGAUGG
rnacentral:siRNA from 1 species